rnacentral:rRNA from 1 species
AUGGUGAAGGAGAAGACCGCAGCCCUGGAACGGGUGAAGAAGGCGGCGGCGAAGGCCAAGGGGAGAGCGCCCAGUCGGGGCGGCUCCUCUUCGCGGUCCAAGCUGCCGCAGGGCUGGGUCCAAGGAGAUUGGAUCCGCUCGACCAUCACCGAGAAGGAUCUCGCCGAUCUGGCCAAUGAAGGACUGAUCCCCCAUGGGUCGGCGAGGCUUCCGGGCACGGAGUGGCAACCGCAGCCUAAAGAGGGUGAGUGUGUCCUCCUGGCCACCCACGUAGACCGGGGGUUUUCUCUGCCGCCAAAUCCUCUUUUCUGGGGGUUUUUGAACUUUUUUGGAGCGCAACUCCAUCAUUUCACUCCGAACUCCAUUGUCUAUCUUGCUGCUUUCAUUUCGCUAUGCGAGAAUUUCUUCGGUUGUCAACCGCACUGGGGUCUCUUCAAGCACAUAUUCACCUAUUGCUCUCAGACGGUGAAGAAAACGAGCCCGAAUGAUGAGAGGACCCAAGUAAUCCAUAUGUGUGGGGGACUCGGGGUCCAGAUGAGGGGGAAGAGCGCCUUUCCAGCUAUGACUCUCCCCGACUCGGUUAGAGGGUGGCAGUCGACCUGGUUUUACUGCCAAGACCAGCCGAUGCCGGGGCAGUCGACUGGGCUCCCUCCUUUCUCCAUGAGUCGAGUGAACAAGCCAUCUUCCCUGAAGGUGUUACCAAAGGAGAAGGCCCAAGUAAAGUUGCUGAUGGAGCGUGUAGUCCAGCUUAUUCGCGAUGGGGUGACCGGCAUGGAUCUCCUGGAGGUUUUUCUCCGACGGCGUAUUCAGCCACUUCAAUACCGAGGUCAUCCGAUGUGGAUGUACUCUGGUACGGAUGAUACCACUCGGGUCCAUCCAGAGGAGGUCGAUGACGCCACGCUGGAGAAGUGGAUGACUGCCAUCACAGGAAACAAAGACAACCCUCGCGGAGCUAGGAGGAUUCCACCACUCGACCAGAGUUACCAACCAGACCAGGUCACCACUGAGAUGUACUCGAUGCCCAAUGGGGCGCAGGAAACAGUCAAAGAAGAAGAAGGAAGUGGAGGUGAAAGUCCGGCGGAAUGGGAGUCCAACGGUGAGGAGGAUGAGGAGGAUGAUAGCUCUGAUGACGAGGAGGAGGAGGAGGAAGAGGAGGAAGACGUCGAUCCUCCUCGCUCAGAAGGAAGGUCCAAGCUGACGCAUGACCCGGCGGCCGGGCCGGUAAAGCCGUUGUGCCCACCGGGCAGUCGACAAAGCGACCUAGGACAACUUCUCCCGCGCCGACUGAGAAACCACCGAAGCAACCUCGAGCGACGUCGUCAAAGACGGCGAAGGCCCUGCCCAAAAUGUGAAUGGUCAUCCCCACCAUCUCCGGCGCCGCUACCUCCGAGACUUCAGCCAAGCACGAAGAUCAGGAAAUGGAGGAUGCGGCCACCUCCAACCUUGUUCCGCCUCACGUCAUUGAUCUCCCCGAUGAUGACGAGGAAGCGCCAUUGA